AGAGUUUGAUCCUGGCUCAGGAUGAACGCUGGCGGCGUGCUUAACACAUGCAAGUCGAACGAGGUCCAACCUUCGGGUGAAGACCGAGUGGCGAACGGGUGAGUAACACGUGGGGAACCUGCCCUUCUCUCUGGGAUAACCUCGGGAAACCGAAGCUAAUACCGGAUACUCCUUGCGGACCGCAUGGUCUGCUCGGGAAAGCUCCGGCGGAGAAGGAUGGCCCCGCGGCCCAUUAGCUUGUUGGUGGGGUAACGGCCCACCAAGGCGACGAUGGGUAGCCGAGCUGAGAGGCUGAUCGGCCACACUGGGACUGAGACACGGCCCAGACUCCUACGGGAGGCAGCAGUGGGGAAUCUUGCGCAAUGGGCGAAAGCCUGACGCAGCAACGCCGCGUGCGGGAUGAAGGCUCUCGGGUCGUAAACCGCUUUCAGCAGGGAUGAAAAUGACAGUACCUGCAGAAGAAGCCCCGGCUAAAUACGUGCCAGCAGCCGCGGUAAUACGUAUGGGGCAAGCGUUAUCUGGAUUCAUUGGGCGUAAAGCGCGCGUAGGCGGCUUGUUAAGUCAGGCGUGAAAUCCGGGGGCUCAACCCGCGGCUUGCGUCUGAAACUGGCAGGCUUGAGUCUGGUAGAGGAAAGUGGAAUUCCUGGUGUAGCAGUGAAAUGCGCAGAUAUCAGGAGGAACACCAGUGGCGAAGGCGGCUUUCUGGGCCACGACUGACGCUGAGGCGCGAAAGCUAGGGGAGCGAACAGGAUUAGAUACCCUGGUAGUC
rnacentral:rRNA from 1 species